GAAAGAUAACUAGUCAAAUGGUAGACAGGCAUUGAGGGAUUUAAAGACUCGCGAAAUGGUAAGUGUGUGAGGCGACAAUGCGUCAGCAAAAGAGACUCGGAACCCUAGCAUAAACUAAGCUAGGAGCCUAGGCUUGGCAUCAGCCUUGGGAGGGUAAUUGGGUUGGAGAACUUUUUUAACUAAAGACUAAUGUAUAGAGAACCCCAAAACCUCU
rnacentral:misc_RNA from 1 species